AUGAACGGACUCAGAAAAUUGAAGAAGGGGAUCAGCAGCAAGCGAGGCGACCCCCACGUCGCCCAACACGGCCAAACUCCAUAUGAUGAAUGGGAGGAGCAACAACGAUAUUAUUCGCCUUCACCGUUGGUGAGCUCAUCACCAUGGACGCCGCUGGUGAGCGCUUCACCACGGAUGCCGCUGGUGAGCCCUUCAUUGAGGACGCUACAGGCGAGUCCUUCACCGCGGGCACCACCGGUGAGCCCCACGGGGUCACCAAAGACCCCAGGAGGGAGCCAGAAGAAGCAAGUGCUGGGCAAGGUAAAGAACAAGGCUAAGAAAUGGAUGCACCUUCUGCAUCACAAAAAGAAGCUUCCCCCGCACGAUGAGAUGAUGAUGUGGACACCACGUAUCGGGCCCAGCUCGGAUGACACCUACGGCAGGGGGGGACAAUACGAUGAUGAUGAGCGCCUUGGAACCCCAAGCACGGCACUACACCCAUCUUCAUUUGCUGAGUCAGAGUUCGAACCUGAGGUCUACGUGCAAGCAUCAUCAAGGCAGAACACGCCAGCCCCGAGCCCCACCGCUUGCCAGGAACAACCAUUCUUCAAGGUCAGCAGCAGGUUCGAGUCAGAAAUGAAGGAAGCCAAUGAAAUGCUGAUGGAAUCGAAGAAGCUGCGGGUCAAAACAUCCAAGCAGAAGACCGUGACAUUUGCACCGAUACUAGAAUACGGGCCAGAAAUCGAAAACAAAGUGUGGAGCGACAAGGAACGCCCUGAAUCGACAACCGAGAUAUUCAGAAAGGCAUGUGCUACAGUAUUCCAGGCUGCCCUCAAGAUAGUCUCUGGAAUCCAAGAUACAAUGGUAGCAUACAAUAUCGACAAAAGGCACAUGGUAGAGAAAUUAGUAUCAGUUAAUAGGUACCUUCUGCUCAAACUGGAGCCUAGUCCAGAUGACGAAGCACUUGCGGAAGUCAUCACUGAGGCUGUCCUAAAUCUGUUAGACGCGUGGACUGAGAAUGUCGAAAGGCCUUUGAUGCAGAGGGCGAAGACAAUCUCUUCUUGGUUCCUGCAAGAAGGGAGAGUAGAAUUACCUCCUGUUUCGCUGUCUACACGUCCUCGUGCUGCACAAGGUAAGCCACUAUUGUGCAAGGACAAUCCUAUCUGCAAAAAUAUGUCACUGAACACUAUAUUAGCUAACUGGAAACUUAUGACAUGCAGGUGCAGAAGAGUUCUAUUAAUUAGAGGAUUAACCACUGCUUGA
rnacentral:rRNA from 1 species